CAUCACAGUACGCCCACCCCCCCAAGGGACGGAUCCCAGACGUCCCAAAUACAAACCGAACAAAAGUCAACCAUGGGAGGGCGGAGGGGGACCGGAGGAGGGACGAACGGAGGAACAAAAAAGUCAAACUAGGCUAGGGAACUGGGGACAGAAAGGCCGCAGACAGCAGGGCCGUGGACAGCAGGGCUGCGGACAGCAGCGAAGACGGAUCCCCACUGGCGGUCGAGCAGGACGUCGAGGACUCUGAGGUGGCUGGCGGCAAAGGCUAAACCCCUCUAGCAGCUGACGGCGAAGGCGAAACCCCUCU